UGAACGACCAUCUUUGAAUAGAGGGCGGGGCUUACCACACCAACUGUCUCCCAGGGCUUUGGAGAGGGCGUGACCACCGAGGCGCCAUUUUAGCAGGCCAAACAAAGGGCUAGAGGAGUGCAAGCAUCAGUAAUGGUUCGUCCUUGCUGUGUUGUCAGUUGUUAGAUCGGACGAUCGGGAAGGGAAUAAGCUGGAAAACGGGCUCUCUUUUUACUCUUUCCCCACCUGGAAGCAUCACGAGGGAGCUCAUGUAUCGGGUGUUACCAAAAGAAGGCGUCUAGCCUGGAUAGCAGCUGUGAGACGGCUGAUAUCCAGUUCGCUACCAUCCCCAGAUAUCUAUUGGUGCUACAGACAUUUUCAUUCAGCAAACCAGCCUAUGAAAUGGAUGAAACACAUCCUGACUGGAUUCCAGCGCUACACAUGGGGCACUACGAAAUCCCUGCUUCAAACUACAUGCUACAUACCACCAUGCCAAUCAGAUUACUUCUUCCAUGUGAGGGU